rfam:Triticum aestivum genome assembly, contig: Triticum_aestivum_CS42_TGACv1_scaffold_527090_6DL
ACAGUACUCCCUCCGUUCGGAAUUAUUUGUCUCGGAAAUGGAUGUAUCAAGAACUAAAAUAUGUUUAGAUACAUCUAUUUCUGUGACAAGUAAUUACAAACGGAGGCAGUAAUAU